rnacentral:lncRNA from 1 species
CCCGGCGCCGGCUAAGGCGGCGGAGAAGGUAGACGACGGCGACGACGAGAGCAGCGGUGGAAGAGGACGACGAGAGCGACGAGAGGGGUGGUGUUGGAGGUGGAGGUGUAGGAGGAGAUGAGGCGAGGUGGAGGCGGAGGAGCCGGCCGGUGGUGGCGACCAAGUUGGGGAAGAAAGAGAGGAUAAUUUUAGGGAUUAGUAUAAUAAGGUAGGGGCAAAAUAGGUAUUUUGUUCAGAUUUUAACUCUAGUAUAGAUUUAACCCAUGUUUAACCCGAGUUAAGCUAACAGGGGAUAACUGCGGGGGUAUUUUGGAAUAACGGUGAAACAUAUGAGGGGCAUUUUAGAAAGAAAAAAAAAAAGUAGGGGUAGAUCGGAUAUUUUCGAAUACAUGAAGGGU